rnacentral:rRNA from 1 species
UGAUCCUGGCUCAGGAUGAACGCUGGCGGUCUGCUUAACACAUGCAAGUCAAACGCAACCUUCGGGUUGAGUGGCGGACGGGUGAGUAACGCGUGAGAAUCUGCCUUGGGGUCGGGGACAACCACUGGAAACGGUGGCUAAUACCGGAUAAGCCUUUGGGUAAAAGAUUUAUUGCCCCAAGAGGAGCUCGCGUCUGAUUAGCUAGUUGGUGAGGUAAAAGCUCACCAAGGCAGCGAUCAGUAGCUGGUCUGAGAGGACGAUCAGCCACACUGGGACUGAGACACGGCCCAGACUCCUACGGGAGGCAGCAGUGGGGAAUUUUCCGCAAUGGGCGAAAGCCUGACGGAGCAAGACCGCGUGAGGGAGGAAGGCUCUUGGGUUGUAAACCUCUUUUCUCAGGGAAGAAGCUCUGACGGUACCUGAGGAAUCAGCCUCGGCUAACUCCGUGCCAGCAGCCGCGGUAAUACGGAGGAGGCAAGCGUUAUCCGGAAUUAUUGGGCGUAAAGCGUCCGCAGGUGGCGAUUCAAGUCUGCUGUCAAAGCACGGGGCUUAACUCCGUUAAGGCAGUGGAAACUGAAUAGCUAGAGUGCCGUAGGGGUAGAGGGAAUUCCCGGUGUAGCGGUGAAAUGCGUAGAGAUCGGGAAGAACAUCGGUGGCGAAAGCGCUCUACUGGACGGCAACUGACACUCAGGGACGAAAGCUAGGGGAGCGAAUGGGAUUAGAUACCCCAGUAGUCCUAGCUGUAAACGAUGGAUACUAGGUGUAGCUUGUAUCGACCCGAGCUGUGCCGAAGCUAACGCGUUAAGUAUCCCGCCUGGGGAGUACGCACGCAAGUGUGAAACUCAAAGGAAUUGACGGGGGCCCGCACAAGCGGUGGAGUAUGUGGUUUAAUUCGAUGCAACGCGAAGAACCUUACCAGGGCUUGACAUGUCCGGAAUCCCGGUGAAAGCUGGGAGUGCCUUCGGGAGCCGGAACACAGGUGGUGCAUGG